AACGGAGGUGGCUAGCGUUACCCGGAUUUACUGGGCGUAAAGGGGGCGUAGGCGGCCGUGAAAGUCCGGUGUGAAAACUCACGGCUCAACCGUGGGACUGCGCUGGAAACUACACGGCUUGAGGACGGUAGAGGGAGACGGAACUGCUGGUGUAGGGGUGAAAUCCGUAGAUAUAAGCAGGAACGCCGGUGGAGAAGUCGGUCUCCUGGGCCGUUCCUGACGCUGAGGCCCGAAAGCUAGGGGAGCAAACCGG
rnacentral:rRNA from 1 species